AUUUAAAUAAUUUAAAUAAAAAUAUUGAUUUGUGGCAUCAAAAAUAUAAUAUAUAUAUAUAUAAUAAUAAUUAUUUUAAAUU
rnacentral:tRNA from 1 species